CGGGAAUAAUCAAAACUCUAUCAAGCUGCAAAAUUCAUAGAAUCUUACCGGAAAACUGCAGUACGGCCGGUAACAUGGAUUGAGUUUAUCAACACCAACAUGGAAAAAUAGAUUGCUAGUCACCAAGAAGAACUUGCGAGCUUCUUUGGAGAUGAAUGGUCUAGCACAAUGCAGAUGUUGGUGUUGCGAUUAGAAUGGUCUAAUUUGGUAAAGGAAUGAGCUUGAGAUUUGAGAAGAUUGUAUCGCUAUCCUACAUAGGAAUAGGAUAAGCGAUUAAAUGACAUCAGUGGUUUUUGAUCACUACGAGGUCAAUGGCGCGGAACAUAUUGGAGUUGCAGAGAAAUACCAUGGAGGGGAUUAAAGACAAGGAUCGAUGUGAAGGUCGGAGAAACAACAAUUCACAGUUCACCGGAUGAGACAGGUUCUGGUCAGAGGUCAUCUUCAUUGGAGAUG
rnacentral:lncRNA from 1 species